CCUACGGGAGGCAGCAGUGGGGAAUAUUGGGCAAUGGAGGCAACUCUGACCCAGCAACGCCGCGUGAAUGAUGAAGGCCUUCGGGUUGUAAAGUUCUUUUCAAAGGGAAGAAGAAAGUGACGGUACUUUCGGAUUAAGCCUCGGCUAACUAUGUGCCAGCAGCCGCGGUAAUACGUAGGAGGCAAGCGUUAUCCGGAUUGACUGGGUGUAAGGGGGGCGUAGGUGGUUUGACAAGUUAGUUGCGAAACUCCGGGGCUCAACUCCGGAACUGCAACUGAAACUGUUGGACUUGAGUACAGGAGAGGCAGACGGAAUUCCUGGUGUAGCGGUGAAAUGCGUAGAUAUUAGGAGGAACACCAGUGGCGAAGGCGGAUUGCUAGACUGUAACUGACACUGAGGCACGAAAGCGUGGGGAGCAAACAGGAUUAGAUACCCCGGUAGUC
rnacentral:rRNA from 1 species